AGAGUUUGAUCCUGGCUCAGAUUGAACGCUGGCGGCAUGCCUUACACAUGCAAGUCGAACGGCAGCACGGGAGCAAUCCUGGUGGCGAGUGGCGAACGGGGGAGUAAUGUAUCGGAACGUACCUUUCAGUGGGGGAUAACGUAGCGAAAGUUACGCUAAUACCGCAUAUUCUGUGAGCAGGAAAGCAGGGGACCUUCGGGCCUUGCGCUGAUUGAGCGGCCGAUAUCAGAUUAGCUAGUUGGUGAGGUAAAGGCUCACCAAGGCGACGAUCUGUAGCGGGUCUGAGAGGAUGAUCCGCCACACUGGAACUGAGACACGGUCCAGACUCCUACGGGAGGCAGCAGUGGGGAAUUUUGGACAAUGGGGGCAACCCUGAUCCAGCCAUGCCGCGUGAGUGAAGAAGGCCUUCGGGUUGUAAAGCUCUUUCGGCCGGGAAGAAAUCGCAUCAGCUAAUACCUGGUGUGGAUGACGGUACCGGAAUAAGAAGCACCGGCUAACUACGUGCCAGCAGCCGCGGUAAUACGUAGGGUGCGAGCGUUAAUCGGAAUUACUGGGCGUAAAGCGUGCGCAGGCGGUUUUGUAAGACAGGCGUGAAAUCCCCGGGCUCAACCUGGGAACUGCGUUUGUGACUGCAAGGCUAGAGUAUGGCAGAGGGGGGUGGAAUUCCACGUGUAGCAGUGAAAUGCGUAGAGAUGUGGAGGAACACCGAUGGCGAAGGCAGCCCCCUGGGCCAAUACUGACGCUCAUGCACGAAAGCGUGGGUAGCAAACAGGAUUAGAUACCCUGGUAGUCCACGCCCUAAACGAUGUCAACUAGGUGUUGGGUGGGUAAAACCAUUUAGUACCGGAGCUAACGCGUGAAGUUGACCGCCUGGGGAGUACGGCCGCAAGGUUAAAACUCAAAGGAAUUGACGGGGACCCGCACAAGCGGUGGAUGAUGUGGAUUAAUUCGAUGCAACGCGAAAAACCUUACCUACCCUUGACAUGUCCAGAAGCCCUUAGAGAUUUGGGUGUGCCCGAAAGGGAGCUGGAACACAGGUGCUGCAUGGCUGUCGUCAGCUCGUGUCGUGAGAUGUUGGGUUAAGUCCCGCAACGAGCGCAACCCUUGUCGUUAAUUGCCAUCAUUUAGUUGGGCACUUUAACGAGACUGCCGGUGACAAACCGGAGGAAGGUGGGGAUGACGUCAAGUCCUCAUGGCCCUUAUGGGUAGGGCUUCACACGUCAUACAAUGGUCGGUACAAAGGGUUGCCAACCCGCGAGGGGGAGCCAAUCCCAGAAAGCCGAUCGUAGUCCGGAUCGUAGGCUGCAACUCGCCUGCGUGAAGUCGGAAUCGCUAGUAAUCGCGGAUCAGCAUGUCGCGGUGAAUACGUUCCCGGGUCUUGUACACACCG
rnacentral:rRNA from 1 species